GUCCACGCUGUAAACGAUGAACACUAGGUGUAGGUGGUGUCAAAACUAUCUGUGCCAAAGCCAACGCGUUAAGUGUUCCGCCUGGGAAGUACGGCCGCAAGGCUAAAACUCAAAGGAAUUGACGGGGACCCGCACAAGCAGCGGAGCGUGUGGUUUAAUUCGAUGCGACACGAAGAACCUUACCUGGGUUUGACAUGCUGGUAGUAGUGAAGCGAAAGCGGAACGACCCUUCGGGGAGCCAGCACAGGUGCUGCAUGGCUGUCGU
rnacentral:rRNA from 1 species